rnacentral:sRNA from 1 species
AGGGAAGGGGCCACCAUGGGAUGUACUCUGAGCGCAGAGGAGAGAGCCGCCCUCGAGCGGAGCAAGGCGAUUGAGAAAAACCUCAAAGAGGAUGGCAUCAGCGCCGCCAAAGACGUGAAAUUACUCCUGCUCGGGGCUGGAGAAUCAGGAAAAAGCACCAUUGUGAAGCAGAUGAAGAUCAUCCAUGAAGAUGGCUUCUCCGGAGAAGACGUGAAACAGUACAAGCCUGUUGUCUACAGCAACACCAUCCAGUCCCUGGCAGCCAUCGUCCGGGCCAUGGACACUUUGGGCAUCGAAUAUGGUGAUAAGGAGAGAAAGGCUGACGCCAAGAUGGUGUGUGAUGUGGUGAGUCGGAUGGAAGACACCGAGCCCUUCUCUGCAGAGCUGCUUUCUGCCAUGAUGCGGCUCUGGGGCGACUCAGGAAUCCAAGAGUGCUUCAACCGGUCCCGGGAGUAUCAGCUCAACGACUCUGCCAAAUAGUGAGUGUCCCAGCGGGCGCAUGGCCUGGAGCCGGGCAGUGAUGCGGGAGUGGAAGGGACUGGUGAUGGGGACUGGCAGAGCAAGGAGGAUUCUCGGCUGAGGUCACGCCUGCCGGGAGAUGUUCUCCCAUAGGUAGAGGGUGUCAGGAAGGAAUGAGAAGGGGCCUCUCUUCCUGCCCCCCAGGAGGAGAAAGAGGCCAGAGGAGGCAGAGGACACAAGAGACAACCAAACAGUGGAAAUUCCCAGAGGGCCGGGACCUUGUCACUGGCUUGUCCUGGAGAGUGCCUGGCACUGCAAAAAGACAGCUUUCAAGUGUAGCAGCUUCGUUUUUUUAUAGGGAGCCCCUGACCGCAUAAAUACAAACCAAAACAACAGCCAUAUAGGCAGAAAGGAAAUGGUGCCAUUUUGUUUUAUUUUAGAAAAAAUAAUAAGCUUUCCAUUCCCCA